rnacentral:rRNA from 1 species
AUUGAACGCUGGCGGCAGGCCUAACACAUGCAAGUCGAACGGUAACAGGAAGCAGCUUGCUGCUUCGCUGACGAGUGGCGGACGGGGGAGUAAUGUCCGGGAAGCUGCAUGAUGGAGUGGGAUAACUACUGGAAACGGUAACUAAUAUAGCAUAAUGUCGCAAGACCAAAGAGGGGGACCUUUUGGGCUCUUGCCAUCGGAUGUGCCCCGAUGGGAUUAGCUUGUUGGUGGGGUAACGGCGCACCAAGGCGACGAUCCGUAGCUGGUCUGAGAGGAUGACCAGCCACACUGGGACUGAGACACGGUCCAGACUCCUACGGGAGGCAGCAGUGGGGAAUAUUGGACAAUGGGCGCAAGCCUGAUGCAGCCAUGCCGCGUGUGUGAAGAAGGCCUUCGGGUUGUAAAGUACUUUUGUCGGGGAGGAAGAGCGUAAGGUUAAUACCUUGGCUCUUUGACGGUACCCGCAGAAGAAGCACCGGCUAACUCCGUG